CCUACGGGUGGCUGCAGUGAGGAAUAUUGCGCAAUGGGGGAAACCCUGACGCAGCAACGCCGCGUGAGUGAGGAAGGUUUUCGGACCGUAAAGCUCUGUCGAGCGGGAAGAAGUGCAUGGUGGCUAAUAUCCAUUAUGCUUGACGGUACCGCUAAAGGAAGCACCGGCUAACUCAGUGCCAGCAGCCGCGGUAAUACGGGGGGUGCUAGCGUUGUUCGGGAUCGUGUAGGGGGAUGAGUAAGUCAGAUGUGAAAGCCCGUGGCUUAACCUAGGAAGGGCAUUUGAAACUGUUCAGCUUGAGUAAGGGAGAGGAAAGUGGAAUUCCUGGUGUAGAGGUGAAAUUCGUAGAUAUCAGGAGGAACACCGGUGGCGAAGGCGACUUUCUGGCCCUAUACUGACGCUGAGACGCGAGAGCGUGGGUAGCAAACAGGAUUAGAUACCCCAGUAGUC
rnacentral:rRNA from 1 species